UCAAAAUGACACUUGAAAUCUGAGCCAACCCUGCUGUGUUUGAGAAUGUAGGCCCAGCGUUCAACCCUGGUCACCCCAGGUCCAGACCGAAUAUUUUGGACACAGAGGAACCGAUAGAUAAACUGCCUCUGCCCAGCUCUUGGCUUAUGGAAAAUCUGCUCUAUACCUGCUCUUUUGAGAAAACUUUAAGAAGCACACCUCCCAAGGCUUGGUGAGAAAACAACCAGGCGAAAGCUGUCAACAAAAAUGAAAUGGCAAAGCAAGGAUUGCACACAAGAGCUAGGAUCCACUUAAAAGCAAUCUUGGAUUCAUUCGUGACUCACCUUUUGGAGAAGAGCCUCUCAGGGCAUCAGGAAAAGCAUUGCUAUGUUGUUGUUGAUGUUGAUUGUUGGUUUAAAGACUCAGAAAGAAAACACAACAGUCAAAUGCCCAUGGACCACAGAAGAGAACUCUUUUUAAUGUGGAGUCAUUUAUAAUUUGAAAUGAACUGGAAACUGCAGAGAUGACACACCAUUUAAGAGUGCUUACUGCUCUUCUAAAGGACCAGAGUUCAUUUCUCAACACCCAUGUCAGGUAGCUCAUAACUGCCUGUCACUCUAGUCCCAAGGAAUAUGAUACCUUGUUCUAGCCUUUGACACAGCUACAUGCAUUUACAGAGGCACAUAUACAUGUUACAUAUAAUAAAUGAACCUCAUUUGGUAAUAAUA